UUGAAGAAUUACUUACAUAUACUGGUGGGAGGAUAUAGUUAUCAAGUGGGAUAGUCGAACUGCGUGUAAGUUGACCCAUUUAUCUGGUGAAACGACCUUACAGAGAGGAUCUGAUCUUCAUUUGUGUCUAAACUUUUCCUAAGUAAUCGUUUGUGUUUGUUGUCUACUUUUUACCUUCUGUUCAUUUUCUAUACCAUGUGACAUUGGUUCUCUUUGAAUCCUUUCUUAUUGCCAUAUGGUCAUCUUAGCAUUCAGAUAUCAGUUAGUUCUCAGUAUAUGUUUUUAAUUGUAUUGGUGAAUGUUUCAUCUGGACAAAUAUAUGAUUGUUAGAGUUAUAUCCUACUGAAACUUUAUCAUUUUUCUAGAGUAAAUCUUGUUAAAUGUCCAAAAAGCUGAUCAAAUGUAUUGGGAAAUAUUCUCUCUUUUUCGUUUGGUAUUGGAACAUCGAACUUAUCAACUUUUUUCGUUAUUUCAAUUUAAAAGCAACAAUUCAAGUUUUUUUCAAUUGUGUUGUAUCAUUGAACAUGUUUCUGCCCUUCUACCAGAAGUUGGAUGCAGCCAUCCUGCUAUAUGACCUUUUUGCAUUCCAUGUAUUAGUCAGUCUUCUAUAUCAAGAUUUUGAAGAGUCUAUCUAUAGCUGGUUGUUGAGAAUAUCUUUUAUUGUUUUAUUGCACUUAUGUUGACCUAAUAACAAACUUGAAAGCCAAACUAGGUGCGAGUUAAUGGUCCUAACACAGCACCUGUUUACCAAUUCCUUAAAUCAAGCAAAGGUGGUUUUCUCGGUUCAAGCAACAAAUGGAAUUUCACCAAGUUUCUGAUUGAUAAGGAAGUAGGAAGAUAGCCAAUGUUGUUGUUGUUGUUGUUUUAGGAAACAACCAUAGGGGACACAUAAAGUUUUUUGCUAUGCUUCUGGAGAAUUGUUAAGAUGCAGUUAUCAAAAUAAUUCCUCACCUCUAUAUUAAAAGAUCUAAGAUGAAGAGGCAAAGGCAACUAAACGAUAUUGACUAUUGUUUUUGCUGCCACAGAGAGAGAGGAGAAAAAAUGGCCAACCUCUUCCUACUUCUCCAUGUAUUUAAAUAAGUUUCUAUAUUGUCUAGAUUUCUCUCGACCUCGACUAACUCCAACGGAUACCUGACACCAAUACCACGAUCACUGACCAUGUUAUUUUAUCCACCAAAGGUAGGAUAGGUCAGAAGAAGUGAGAGUAUCAUCUUGGUUUCAACGUGGUUGGUUAAAGUCAUUAAAUUUUAAUCAUAAAUUUAUCCACCGGAACGGUUGGCUAUGUAGAAUUUUCAUCCAUAUCCAUUGUCAUCUUCGUUUUCUAUUCUUCUCAUUUCGGUCUUAGUUUGGACCGUGUUCUUCCACUCAGUUUUCCCAAUUUUGUUAGUAAUUAUUUCCGUUUAAUUUGUUUUUUAAUCUGCUGGUGGCUUUAAAAGUUGGCGAUGCCAAAAACAAUGCUCGUGAAGUCAUGGGUGGUGAAAGGAUAUACUCAAUAAGUGACGAGCCCAAAAGAGUGAAGAGGUGAACGACCAAGGGAAAAAAAGUAAUUUAACAGAGACUUUAGAAGCUACCACCAAUCUUUCUUCUGAACUUUUAGCUAAUACAUCUAUGAUAUAUCACCAUGGGAAGCUUUUGGCUCUUCAUGAGGGGGAUAAACCAUGUAAGUUACUUUUGUAUUUGAUCUAUUAGCCGAGAAACUUAAGCAAUCUAUCAUUUAAAUGCUUGCUGGCCUGAAUAUGUUAUCAAGAUUCUUUGACAUCUUAUAGUUAAUUACUUCCUUCAAUUUAUUUUGUACGACUGUAACUUUCUAAUUGCCAGAGAUAAUCUUAUAUGCAUUCAAGCUGCCAAAUAGUGAUGUGACUGUUCUUUUAGUAAGAUUGCUGUUUGUUGAA